rnacentral:lncRNA from 1 species
AUUGCCAACUUUUUUCUUUUUUUUUAGUUUGACGCAGACAGAGAUGAGGAAGAAGUGUUCUCUGACAUAAGUUCUGCAGUUGACAGUAAACUAUUUGCAAACAAAGAGACUGCAGCAGGGCCAAAUGAACUUGAUUGCAGUCUGAUUAUGGAUUCUGGAGAUGCUGUUUAUACAGAAUUUGACUUUGAAGACCAGGAGGAGGAUCAGUCAAGUUUUUCUGGUUAUGAGAGCACAGGAGGUGAGUUUCUUUUUCAGUGUCAAUUGCCAUUUAAAUUUAAAACCUUUGAUUUCCUGUUGUUUAAA